UCAGAGAUUAAGCCAUGCAUGUCUAAGUACAUACCUUAAAACGAUGAAACAGCGAAUGGCUCAUUAAAUCAGCUAUGGUUCCUUAGAUCAUAUAUACUACAUGGAUAACUGUAGUAAUUCUAGAGCUAAUGCAUGCAAUUAUGCCCUGAUCCGCAAGGGAACGGAUGCAUUUAUUAGAACAGAACCAACCGGGAGCAGUGUCGGCUGUCUCCGUUGAAUUCUGUAAUGACUCUGGAUAACUUUAAUGAUCGGAGUCAGCCUUGUAUUGGCGACGGAUCUUUCAAAUGUCUGCCCAAUGACAAUUUGUUGGUAGGUGAUCUGCCUACCAUGAUACAAUAACGGGGAGAUGGGGAAUUAGGGUUCGAUUCCGGAGAGAGGGAGCCUGAGAAAUGGAUGGCUACUCAUAUCCAAGGACGGCAGCAGGCGUGGAACUUAAUGUCACCA
rnacentral:ncRNA from 1 species